AUUGAACGCUGGCGGCAUGCCUUACACAUGCAAGUCGAACGGCAGCACGGGUGCUUGCCCCUGGUGGCGAGUGGCGAACGGGUGAGUAAUACAUCGGAACAUGUCCUGUAGUGGGGGAUAGCCCGGCGAAAGCCGGAUUAAUACCGCAUACGAUCUACGGAUGAAAGCGGGGGCCCUUCGGGCCUCGCGCUAUAGGGUUGGCCGAUGGCUGAUUAGCUAGUUGGUGGGGUAAAGGCCUACCAAGGCGACGAUCAGUAGCUGGUCUGAGAGGACGACCAGCCACACUGGGACUCAGACACGGCCCAGACUCCUACGGGAGGCAGCAGUGGGGAAUGUUGGACAAUGGGCGAAAGCCUGAUCCAGCAAUGCCGCGUGUGUGAAGAAGGCCUUCGGGUUGUAAAGCACUUUUGUCCGGAAAGAAAUCCUUGGCCCUAAUACGGUCGGGGGAUGACGGUACCGGAAGAAUAAGCACCGGCUAACUACGUG
rnacentral:rRNA from 1 species